CUACCUCGCUCUUAGGUCCACUGACGACCCCUGUUGGCCGGUGACUCUUUAAAUAUAACCGGCAAGAUUGUCUAGCCAAUCUGCCAACACGUCUACCACAUGCACCUAUCCCGGUAGGCAGUAGCGCGUACACGCCACGCCCCGAGCAACUAUGUAUUUAAAACCGAAUACCUGUGGGUCGCGCGCGCGUAUUAACCCUCCGGUACAGCCAACGGCUAUGCUGAGCUCAAGCAUACCUGUUGCCGACUCUUCAGCGCGCCGCAAUUUAAACCGCCUGAACUGGGCAGGCUGCGAGGACACCGGAGUGUAAAAAUGAACACGUGCGGUGGAGCCCGUACCGGCCAUUAUACCGGCUCCAAGUGUGUCCAACACACCCCGCCUCACAGCGCUCACCCGCUAGACGGCCCCGCGAUUCUACGACAGCGCCCUCAACACACAAACGCACGUGGUGGAGCAUACCAGGGAGCUGGCUAUGAAGAGUGAUGCAGAGCGAAGUGUGGCACUCCAUCUUCAAAGUUAAUUCUUCAAUGUCCAAACUACUAACAGAUUUAUAAGAUGGCACCAGUACCUGUGGUCAACCAGUUAGCACAUUUCAUAAGAAAGUUCCCGGAACAAUGAAAAGUACAUACUCUAAAAAUGGUACCAGGAACUACCUAACAGGAACUACAAAUGGCCUGAGUUCCUGUAGUGGGAAUGCUACUAAAGUUCCCAAAUUUGUCCCUGUUUCCUGAAAAAAACGUUCCUGCAGAGGAAAAGCACCAAUAGUCAGCUGAACCUAGAGGGAAGUCCUUGUGGGCGUUUUAUUUCUUUUUGUUACUUCUGUUAUCUCCGAGUCCAGUCCAGAGAAGACAUGCUAUGUUCAUUUGAAAUGCUUAUUUCUGUUGUGGUCCUGCAAGUUUGUACAAAAUCCUUCAAGAUGACACUUAAGGAAUUCGUGGAACAAUAGCCCAUUUUGUAAGUUUUUAGAGUCCUUAUUGUCGAUGUGCAGAGUACAGUGAAAUACUUACUUGUGCUGAUCAACACGCAACAUGUCAUGAUUAGUGAGUAGUACUCUUAUCUCAAAACAUUGUCUUCCAUUCCUUUAAAAUCUCAUAACAUACACUGUUUAAACACACACUGUAUAAUCAACUGGUAAUAACGGAAUCCUAUUUCUACAUUUCUUCUAAAUUCUUUAUUUUUCAACUUUCUUUUGUAACUCUGUUUAGCCAUUCUUGUAAAACACUUUGAGCUACUUUCAUGUUUGAAAAUGUGCCAUAUAAAUAAAUAAGAUUACUUGCCAUGCACAUGAGCAUAGGGAGACAGUUAUGGGGAUUAAAUAUAGGGUUACACAGGUGAUAGAUAGGAGUACUGCAGCACUGCUAACCACUUACUUUCUGACCUUAGUGAGAGCUCAUCCAUGAGGCAGACAAGACAUGAAAUCACCAGCCCUCCUGAUCACUGUGGGAUAAAAGUGAGCCUAGAUGGGAGAUCAGUGUCAUUGUCUGACCACCUCGAUUGUCAAUCUUUUCACCACCUUAUUGCUAUUAAACAUGACUGAAACCCCAACAC